rnacentral:rRNA from 1 species
AACGACUCUCGACAACGGAUAUCUCGGCUCUUGCAUCGAUGAAGAACGUAGCGAAAUGCGAUACUUGGUGUGAAUUGCAGAAUCCCGUGAACCAUCGAGUCUUUGAACGCAAGUUGCGCCCGAAGCCACUAGGCCGAGGGCACGCCUGCCUGGGUGUCACGC